GCUGGCAGAAGGGAUCUGUCUGCACACGGACCAUCUUUCUAGGUGUGGGUGGCACUACCAUCAGGUGGCUUUUCUUCUAAGUAGAUGGGUCUUCAUUCACAGAAUCAGGAAAGAAACACAGUAGGCCUGUAUAGGCCAAGUGUCUUCCUACCUGUGGUUCAUCAGCUCUUACUGCGGCAAGAUCCCCCAGUAUGAACAUAACUCAAGCAAGCGGCUGUGUUGAUUAGCAAAUAUCAUCACAUGGGGCCACAGAUCACCUUAACAUUGGGGAUCAACCUGGUGGCUCCUUGUGGUACUGUGUGGCAGCUCACCCAACUCGUCAUUG